GCUAAAAAAGCUUUGUAAUAGCAUCAGUCUUGUAAACUGGAGAUGAAAUUGAUUUCUUUUAGCU
rnacentral:tRNA from 1 species